UUUAUGGAGAGUUUGAUCCUGGCUCAGGAUGAACGCUGGCGGCGUGCCUAAUACAUGCAAGUCGAGCGAACGGACGAGAAGCUUGCUUCUCUGAUGUUAGCGGCGGACGGGUGAGUAACACGUGGAUAACCUACCUAUAAGACUGGGAUAACUUCGGGAAACCGGAGCUAAUACCGGAUAAUAUUUUGAACCGCAUGGUUCAAAAGUAAAAGACGGUCUUGCUGUCACUUAUAGAUGGAUCCGCGCUGCAUUAGCUAGUUGGUAAGGUAACGGCUUACCAAGGCAACGAUGCAUAGCCGACCUGAGAGGGUGAUCGGCCACACUGGAACUGAGACACGGUCCAGACUCCUACGGGAGGCAGCAGUAGGGAAUCUUCCGCAAUGGGCGAAAGCCUGACGGAGCAACGCCGCGUGAGUGAUGAAGGUCUUCGGAUCGUAAAACUCUGUUAUUAGGGAAGAACAUAUGUGUAAGUAACUGUGCACAUCUUGACGGUACCUAAUCAGAAAGCCACGGCUAACUACGUGCCAGCAGCCGCGGUAAUACGUAGGUGGCAAGCGUUAUCCGGAAUUAUUGGGCGUAAAGCGCGCGUAGGCGGUUUUUUAAGUCUGAUGUGAAAGCCCACGGCUCAACCGUGGAGGGUCAUUGGAAACUGGAAAACUUGAGUGCAGAAGAGGAAAGUGGAAUUCCAUGUGUAGCGGUGAAAUGCGCAGAGAUAUGGAGGAACACCAGUGGCGAAGGCGACUUUCUGGUCUGUAACUGACGCUGAUGUGCGAAAGCGUGGGGAUCAAACAGGAUUAGAUACCCUGGUAGUCCACGCCGUAAACGAUGAGUGCUAAGUGUUAGGGGGUUUCCGCCC
rnacentral:rRNA from 1 species